AGGUCUAUAAAAUUAGUGUUUUGUAACCAAUUUCUUGUAUGUAAGGUGGUGUAUCGGUUGUGACUAGUUAGACACGCAGAAGUUCCGGUUUAUAAUACUUGGUUUUACGUUUUGAGAUUGACGGUUCAAAUAUCAAUUGGAAUCUUGCAUGUUUUAUGACAUCUUUGUGCCAGCAGUCACAGUGCUAACCUCCCCCAAGGCUGAGAGAGACCAGGUCGAGAGUAGCUUAUACUCCGACGGUCAGUUACAGAUCAGUUUCAACGCUCGUAUAUUUAUUAUAAAUCCACUCAAUAAACUUGUAACUGUCGGUGCCUUUGUUGGGAUUCUGCCCCCACAUUUUGGAGCUGCCAGUGUUACAAAUGGAGCCCCCAGUGAGGAUUGUCAUGUGACAGGAGUGGACCAGCGGAGCAUUUGAACAGAUGUUCGUAUUGAUACUUAAAAAGGUACCAAAACAUUAAGUGAUCACAUUAAUACAUAAUAAAUAUUGCGCAUUGUGCCGGCAUACAACAUAGAACUUCAGGAGGACUACACCCAGUGACACACAUCAGGAUUGAGGAACUGUAUUUUGAACAGUAAAGUACUGUGUGGUGGAAAAAAAAUCUGUUGUGUAUGGUGCAGUCACAGUGCUAACCUCCCCCAAGGCUGAGAGGGACCAGGUCGAGAGUAGCUUAUACUCCGACGGUCAGUUACAGAUCAGUUUCAACGCUCGUAUAUUUAUUAUAAAUCCACUCAAUAAACUUGUAACUGUCA